rnacentral:rRNA from 1 species
GACGAACGCUGGCGGCGUGCAUAACACAUGCAAGUGGAGCGACCGGCGGGCCCCUAGGGCCCAUUCAAUGCCGGGAGCCGCGAACGGGUGAGUAACACGUGGGCAACCUGCCCCGUCGAUUGGGAUAGCCCGGGGAAACCCGGAUUAAUACCGAAUGACCUGCCGACUCGACUGGAGUGGGCAGCAAAGGAGAGCUUCGGCCUCCGCGAGGGGAUGGGCCCGCGGCCUAUUAGCUAGUUGGUGGGGUGAAGGCCUACCAAGGCGACGAUGGGUAGCUGGUCUGAGAGGACGAACAGCCACACUGGGACUGAGACACGGCCCAGACUCCUACGGGAGGCUGCAGUGGGGAAUCUUGCGCAAUGAGCGAAAGCUUGACGCAGCAACGCCGCGUGAGGGAAGAAGGCCUUCGGGUCGUAAACCUCUACAGGUCGAGAGCAAGGGCCGGCAGGUUAAGAGCCAGCCGGCUUGAGAGUAUCGACCCAUCAGUCCCGGCUAACUACGUGCCAGCCGCCGCCGUAA